rnacentral:rRNA from 1 species
GUAAUGCAUAGGUAACGUGCCCCUUAGUCUGGGAUAGCCACUGGAAACGGUGAUUAAUACCGGAUACUCCUUCUACCUUAAUGGUAGUCGGGAAAGUUUUUCGCUAAGGGAUCGGCCUAUGUUGUAUCAGGUAGUUGGUAGGGUAAUGGCCUACCAAGCCUAUGACACAUAGCGGGUCUGAGAGGAUGAUCCGCCACACUGGUACUGAGACACGGACCAGACUCCUACGGGAGGCAGCAGUGGGGAAUAUUGCACAAUGGGGGAAACCCUGAUGCAGCAACGCCGCGUGGAGGAUGACACAUUUCGGUGCGUAAACUCCUUUUAUAUAAGAAGAUAAUGACGGUAUUAUAUGAAUAAGCACCGGCUAACUCCGUGCCAGCAGCCGCGGUAAUACGGAGGGUGCAAGCGUUAUUCGGAAUCACUGGGCGUAAAGGGUGCGUAGGCGGUUUGGAAAGUCAGAUGUGAAAGCCUAUGGCUUAACCAUAGAACUGCAUUUGAAACUUCCAGACUAGAAUACUGAAGGGGCAGAUGGAAUUAGUGGUGUAGGGGUAAAAUCCGUAGAUAUCACUAGGAAUACCGAAAGCGAAAGCGAUCUGCUGGGAAGUUAUUGACGCUGAGGCACGAAAGCGUGGGGAGCAAACGGGAUUAGAUACCCCGGUAGUCCACGCCCUAAACGAUGAAU